UUACUGGCUUAUGGUGUGGC
rnacentral:piRNA from 1 species